rnacentral:ncRNA from 2 species
CUUUGGCCAGGCGAUGGAGUUCGCCUCGAACCGCCGGUGCGCCGGCUGAUAACUCCUACCCGAAC